rnacentral:rRNA from 2 species
UACGGAGGGUGCAAGCGUUGUUCGGAUUUAUUGGGCGUAAAGGGCGUGUAGGCGGUUCGUUAAGUCUGAUGUGAAAGCCCCGGGCUCAACCCGGGAAGUGCAUUGGAAACUGGCGAACUUGAGUACGGGAGAGGGCAGUGGAAUUCCUAGUGUAGGAGUGAAAUCCGUAGAUAUUAGGAGGAACACCGGUGGCGAAGGCGGCUGCCUGGACCGAUACUGACGCUGAGACGCGAAAGCGUGGGGAGCAAACAGG